CUUGAGUUCUCGCACCGGAAGUCGUAUAUUCCCUGGUAGUUGGACUGGUCAUAGCGGAGGUACUCGCCAGGUGACGCUCGAUCCCUCGUCUUAGCAACGUUGUUGUCGCCAUACAGGAACUGAUUGUUUCUGCUGGGUCUGUUCAGGUUGGGGUCAUCCUCCCGCUGGACAACACGC